UGAUCAGNNNNNNNNNNGUUGGUUAGAGUGAUCAUCAGUUCAGUAGGAGACCUGUAGCGUAUGUAUUGUGAUUGCACAUCAUCCUAGGCUAACUAAACAUCAUCCUAGGCUAACUAAACAUCAUCCUAGGCUAACUAAACAUCAUCCUACGCUAACUAAACAUCCUCCUACGCUAACUAAACAGUAUAUUUACAUGCUAACUACAAAAAGGGGACCAACAUCAAAGUCCAUAUAUGCAAAAGGUAGAAGUCAAUAUGUGGCAGCACAGUGAUCGUUCUGGUCUGUCCUGGCACCCCAAUGGUGGAAGGGGCUUCCAGUUAAUGUCAGGAAAGCGGAGUCACUGCCCAUAUUCUGAAAACAUCUGAAAGAGUAUCGCCNNNNNNNNNNCAGGGAGUCAAUGUAUCAGAGUGUGAAGGACAGGGAGUCAAUGUAUCAGAGUGUGAAGGACAGGGAGUCAAUGUAUCAGAGUGUGAAGGACAGGGAGUCAAUGUAUCAGAGUGUGAAGGACAGGGAGUCAAUGUAUCAGAGUGUGAAGGACUGGGAGUCAAUGUAUCAGAGUGUGAAGGACAGGGAGUCAAUGUAUCAGAGUGUGAAGGACAGGGAGUCAAUGUGUGCAGAGUGUGAAGGACAGGGAGUCAAUGUAUCAGAGUGUGAAGGACAGGGAGUCAAUGUGUGCAGAGUGUGAAGGACAGGGAGUCAAUGUGUGCAGAGUGUGAAGAACCUCAUAGUAAAGGACAGGGAGUCAUUGAAAAAUUGUCUUUAUUAUCUGAAAUUUGAAUAAUUGACCAAACAGACAUUUACAACUACAGACUAAAAUCUUUGUUGUUACCACAACACAAAAACACACAACAUCUAUUUGUUAUGUUUUGUUGGUUAGAGUGAUCAUCAGUUCAGUAGGAGACCUGUAGCGUAUGUAUUGUGAUUGCACAUCAUCCUAGGCUAACUAAACAUCAUCCUAGGCUAACUAAACAUCAUCCUAGGCUAACUAAACAUCAUCCUACGCUAACUAAACAUCCUCCUACGCUAACUAAACAGUAUAUUUACAUGCUAACUACAAAAAGGGGACCAACAUCAAAGUCCAUAUAUGCAAAAGGUAGAAGUCAAUAUGUGGCAGCACAGUGAUCGUUCUGGUCUGUCCUGGCACCCCAAUGGUGGAAGGGGCUUCCAGUUAAUGUCAGGAAAGCGGAGUCACUGCCCAUAUUCUGAAAACAUCUGAAAGAGUAUCGCC
rnacentral:lncRNA from 13 species